GCAAUAUCUGUGGCUUCCAUGUCUGACUCGCCCGCCCCGCUGCUCACCCUUGACAGCGACGACGAGCGCCCAUUCGCCGGUGAAAAUUCUACUCCUUUCUGCACCCGCUGCACUACAUUCACAUCCGUUCAAAUCAACAGCGCACCUGGACCACAUCCAGCUGAGACCCUGCACAACACUGAAAGACAAAUUACGGCCGAUACAUUUCGGUUCCUUUGUCGAAUAUGGCGGCUCUGAAAAUCCAAAUGAUCUGUGUUCAAGAGCAAGCCAGGAAGGCAAGGAAGUAUAAAGGACUUUGAAGUAUGAAUUGCUCUGUCAGAGGUGAUUAUGAUGGAAAGACAGGCUGGCUUCUGACGGUCAGACUGUCACGCGCGCAGAGGCGACCUCGGCGGUGAAGGAGGCGGGCGCGCCGGGGCGACUGCGGGAGCGCGCGGUGAGCGGUGCAGAGGUCACAGUCGCGCCCAAGAUGUACAGCGCGUGCAUGGACGUGGUGGACUCCGACCACAAGCCCGUCUGUGCGCUGCUGAGCGCCGUGCUGCCGGUGCUCGCGCCCGCCAAGGCCCGCCACCUGGCCGCACGCCUCAUCAGAGCCGUCUUUGCCGCCAGCGCGCCCCCGGGACCCGCACUCGCCGUCUCCCCUGCUGCGCUUAAGCUGCACC
rnacentral:lncRNA from 1 species